AUUGAACGCUGGCGGCAGGCCUAACACAUGCAAGUCGAGCGGAGCGGCGGACGGGUGAGUAAUGCCUAGGCAUCUGCCUGGUAGAGGGGGAUAACUAUUGGAAACGAUAGCUAAUACCGCAUACUAUCAGAUGAACCUAGGUCGGAUUAGCUAGGUGGUGGGGUAAAGGCCUACCAGGGCGACGAUCCGUAACUGGUCUGAGAGGAGGAUCAGUCAAACUGGAACUGAGACACGGUACAGACUCCUACGGAAGGCAGCAGUGGGGAAUAUUGGACAAUGGGCGAAAGACUGAUCCAGCCAUGCCGCGUGUGUGAAGAAGGUCUUCGGAUUGUAAAGCACUUUAAGUUGGGAGGCGUUACCAACAGAAUAAGCACCGGCUAACUUCGUGCCAGCAGCCGCGGUAAUUC
rnacentral:rRNA from 1 species